GAUGAACGCUGGCGGCGUGCCUAAUACAUGCAAGUCGAGCGAACAGAUGAGGAGCUUGCUCCUCUGACGUUAGCGGCGGGCGGGUGAGUAACACGUGGAUAACCUACCUAUAUGACUGGGAUAACUUCGGGAAACCGGAGCUAAUACCGGAUAAUAUAUUGAACCGCAUGGUGCAAUAGUGAAAGACGGUUUUGCUGUCACUUAUAGAUGGAUCCGCGCCGCAUUAGCUAGUUGGUAAGGUACCGGCUUACCAAGGCAACGAUGCGUAGCCGACCGGAGAGGCUGAUCGGCCACAUUGGAAGUGAGCCACGGACCAGACUCCUACGGGAGGCAGCAGUAGGGAAUCGUCCGCAAUGGGCGAAAGCCUGACGGAGCAACGCCGAGUGAGUGACGACGGUCUUCGGAUCGUAAAACUCUGUUAUGGGGGAAGAACAAAUGUGGACGUAAAUAUGCACGUCUUGACGGUAACUAAUCAGAAAGCAACGGCUAACUACGUG
rnacentral:rRNA from 1 species